rnacentral:rRNA from 1 species
UACGGAGGAUGCAAGCGUUAUCCGGAAUGAUUGGGCGUAAAGCGUCCGCAGGUGGCAAUGUAAGUCUGCUGUCAAAGCGUCUGGCUCAACCAGAUAAAGGCAGUGGAAACUACAUAGCUAGAGUAAGGUAGGGGUAGAGGGAAUUCCUGGUGUAGCGGUGAAAUGCGUAGAGAUCAGGAAGAACACCUAUGGCGAAGGCAGCUCUCUGGGACGGUACUGACGCUGAGACGCGAAAGCGUGGGGAGCGAACAGG